ncrna:Tamlana nanhaiensis S4-Flavobacteria ribosomal protein leader
GUUUGUCGGAGGAUAAGAUUAAGACCUUAAUUCACAAAC